rnacentral:rRNA from 1 species
UGGGGAAUCUUGCGCAAUGGGCGAAAGCCUGACGCAGCCAUGCCGCGUGAGUGAUGAAGGCCUUAGGGUUGUAAAACUCUUUCACCGGGGACGAUAAUGACGGUACCCGGAGAAGAAGCCCCGGCUAACUUCGUGCCAGCAGCCGCGGUAAUACGAAGGGGGCUAGCGUUGCUCGGAAUUACUGGGCGUAAAGGGCGCGUAGGCGGAUCAGCAAGUUGGGGGUGAAAGCCCGGGGCUCAACCUCGGAAUUGCCUUCAAAACUGCUGAUCUAGAGUACGGGAGAGGUGUGUGGAACUCCGAGUGUAGAGGUGAAAUUCGUAGAUAUUCGGAAGAACACCAGUGGCGAAGGCGACACACUGGCCCGUUACUGACGCUGAGGCGCGAAAGCGUGGGGAGCAAACAGGAUUAGAUACCCUGGUAGUCCACGCUGUAAACGAUGAUUGCUAGUUGUCGGCAGGCAUGCCUGUCGGUGACNCAGCUAACGCAUUAAGCAAUCCGCCUGGGGAGUACGGUCGCAAGAUUAAAAACUC